UAUUUAUUAUUUUGAAAAGAAAGAAAAAAAAAAAAAAACACUUUUGUUAUUUGAUUUGCAGUAAUAAAAUGCUUAUUUUAACUAUUAAUUUAUAGAAUGAUAAUGAAAAUUCAUUUCAUAACUAACCUUAUAAAAUGACUAUCCCAAAUAAAUUUUUUUAAAAAAUGAACUUCUCAAAAAAUCCUCACCCAAAAAUCACAACUAUUUUUCACCACAACCACCUUCACCCUCCACCACUACUACCACCUACUCCCACCACUACUACCACCACUGUCUUUAACCACCGACACCAUCUUCCUUUGUUGCAACCACCGCCUUUCAUCAUGGCUACCACCACCUUCCACCACAGCCAUCGGCUUCAAACCACAACUCUUGGUUUGCAAUUGCAACUCCAUCUGUUGGCUUUAUUAGAGCCAUGGCCAUGCACCUCAAUAUUUAUUCAAUCUCAUCUCUUAUGGUUCCAUGUUUCUCUGUUCAAACUUGCAGCAAUCAUGACGUACAAUUUCCAGUGAUUUCUGGACCAAGUUUUUUUGGUGGCCCAAGUUGGAAUCCAAAUUUUAGUGACCCAAGUUGCCGCUACAAUUUCCGGCUAGUGUUUUUGUUGUUGUCGUCCACAAAUUUGAGGACGUCAAAUUCGAUCAUGACGGUAGUAAGACCCAAUUGAAACUUUAAUGUUCCCUGGGAUUGGAUAAGAUUAAAUCCUCACUUGAUUAUAGUACGUUGAUUGUAAAGUGAAAUCGUAAUUAAAAUCAAAGGAGUUAAAGGAUAAGGGAUAAGUCUCAUUGGCUUGCACGGUUACUUAUUGUUCGGCUCACCGGAGUAGGCUUGAAGGCGUGAGUGCGAUGCAGUUGUCGAUGGAGACCAAAUAGAAUAAGGAAGUUUGUCUCUGUUGUAGAGUGAGAAAGAGAGUGGAGAGAGACGGUUUAGAGAGGGAGAGAUAGAGAGAGAGAGAGUGAAAGGAUGGAGGGAUAAUUGUUUUUAGGAAAAAAAAAAAAAAAAAACAAAAAACAAAACUCCUGAACUAUACAAUGGUUACGUAAUGCCUCUGCUCCCGAAUUAUUUUGGGAGCAAGUUGUCCCUAUAAUUAUUAAAAACAAAAAGCUAGAAAGCCUCAUCGCCCACGCCAGUGAUUUCUGCCGGAACAGAGCUUCGUGUGAUCAACGGCGGUGGUGAGAUCGGAGUUGGCUUCGGAACUGGCCGCAUGAGGUGAGAGGUGUGUUUUGAAACUAAAGAGGUUUGUAUAUCUAGGUUUGGCCAGAAGAUCGGAAAAAGAGAAAUCACCGGGAACGAGAGAUGUUCCGGCUAUAGCUUCUUCCCUGUUGCAGAAAUCACUGUUCUUUUCAUCACAGUUGUUCGAAUUCCAACAUGCAACCCCACUACUCGUCCGAAUUUCUUGUGGAAAUUAGCCGAGCAUUUUUCUGUGUCGAAUCAGCUUCUUUCACUAAGAAGGCGGUGUGCUUCUGCGCAGAUCGGCUCCGACUUGGUUGAAUCGGGCUUCACUGGAGUAAUUGGAAUCCAAGAACUCUGAAUCUGGAAAUCUUUUACUCUCGGAAUCGAGCUAUCUCUUCCGAGAUCCAUUUCGCGACCGAGGAAACUAAAAUUCCUCUCGCAAUUUGACCCAAAUUUCUUAUAGAUCGUAAUUUGCAGACAUGUAUAACUUGUAAGAGAUAUUAUUUGUAUUCUGUGAUGGGUGAUCAGGUUUUAAUUUGUAAGAGAUAUUAUUUGUAUUC